rnacentral:rRNA from 1 species
AUUGAACGCUGGCGGCAGGCCUAACACAUGCAAGUCGAGCGGAGAGGCGGACGGGUGAGUAAUGUAUGGAGAUCUGCCCGAUAGAGGGGGAUAACUACUGGAAACGGUGGCUAAUACCGCAUACUAUCGGAUGAACCCAUAUGGGAGUAGCUAGUAGGGGGGGUAAAGGCUCACCUAGGCGACGAUCCCUAGCUGGUCUGAGAGGAUGAUCGGCCACACUGGGACUGAGACACGGCCCAGACUCCUACGGGAGGCAGCAGGGGGGAAUUUUGGACAAUGGGGGAAACCCUGAUCCAGCCAUGCCGCGUGUGCGAUGAAGGCCUUCGGGUUGUAAAGCACUUUUGGCAGGAAAGCGGUACCUGCCGAAUAAGCACCGGCUAACUACGUGCCAGCAGCCGCGGUAAUUC